rnacentral:rRNA from 1 species
UACGAAGGGUGCAAGCGUUACUCGGAAUUACUGGGCGUAAAGCGUGCGUAGGUGGUUCGUUAAGUCUGAUGUGAAAGCCCUGGGCUCAACCUGGGAAUGGCAUUGGAUACUGGCGAUCUAGAGUGCGGUAGAGGGCAGUGGAAUUCCCGGUGUAGCAGUGAAAUGCGUAGAGAUCGGGAGGAACAUCUGUGGCGAAGGCGGCCAUCUGGACCAGCACUGACACUGAGGCACGAAAGCGUGGGGAGCAAACAGG